rnacentral:rRNA from 1 species
UGGAAGUAAAAAGUCGUAACAAGGUCUCCGUAGGUGAACCUGCGGAGGGAUCAUUACACAAAUAUGAAGGCGGGCUGGAACCUCUCGGGGUUACAGCCUUGCUGAAUUAUUCACCCUUGUCUUUUGCGUACUUCUUGUUUCCUUGGUGGGUUCGCCCACCACUAGGACAAACAUAAACCUUUUGUAAUUGCAAUCAGCGUCAGUAACAAAUUAAUAAUUACAACUUUCAACAACGGAUCUCUUGGUUCUGGCAUCGAUGAAGAACGCAGCGAAAUGCGAUAAGUAGUGUGAAUUGCAGAAUUCAGUGAAUCAUCGAAUCUUUGAACGCACAUUGCGCCCUUUGGUAUUCCAAAGGGCAUGCCUGUUCGAGCGUCAUUUGUACCCUCAAGCUUUGCUUGGUGUUGGGCGUCUUGUCUCUAGCUUUGCUGGAGACUCGCCUUAAAGUAAUUGGCAGCCGGCCUACUGGUUUCGGAGCGCAGCACAAGUCGCACUCUCUAUCAGCAAAGGUCUAGCAUCCAUUAAGCCUUUUUUUCAACUUUUGACCUCGGAUCAGGUAGGGAUACCCGCUGAACUUAAGCAUAUCAAUAAGCGGAGGAAAAGAAACCAACAGGGAUUGCCCUAGUAACGGCGAGUGAAGCGGCAACAGCUCAAAUUUGAAAUCUGGCUCUUUUAGAGUCCGAGUUGUAAUUUGCAGAGGGCGCUUUGGCUUUGGCAGCGGUCCAAGUUCCUUGGAACAG